rnacentral:rRNA from 1 species
UUCAUUUUUGUUUCUUACGUAUGUACUUGUUAAGCCUUUAAGAGAAAAGUUUACAACUUAAGGAAUUAUAACAAAGAAGUAACACAUAAUAAGUUUACCUUAUUUAGUGUGUAUCAAUCGAGUUUCUGACCUAUCAGCUUUUGAUGUUAGGGUAUUGGCCUAACAUGGCUAUGACGGGUAACGGGGAAUUAGAGUUCGAUUCCGGAGAGGGAGCCUGAGAAAUAGCUACCACAUCUAAGGAAGGCAGCAGGCGCGUAAAUUACCCAAUUCUAAAGAAGAGAGGUAGUGACAAGAAAUAACAAUACAAGGCCWUUUCAUGGUUUUGUAAUUGGAAUGAUGGGAAUUUAAAACCUUCCCAAAAUUCAAUUGGAGGGCAAGUCUGGUGCCAGCAGCCGCGGUAAUUCCAGCUCCAAUAGCGUAUAUUAAAAUUGUUGCAGUUAAAACGCUCGUAGUUGAAUUUCAAAGAAUCAAUAUUUUAAGUAAUGCUUUUGGUAUAAGAUGCUUAGGCAAUACAACGUAUCUGCUCUUUGCAUUCCUUAUCCAAAAUGUGUUCUUAUUAUAAAAAGGAUUCUUUUUAAAAUCUCCUUUACUUUCUUGUACUGGAGAUUUUGUUACUUUGAGUAAAUUAGAGUGUUCAAAGCAAACAGUUAAAGCAUUUUACUGCGUUUGAAUACUACAGCAUGGAAUAACAAAAUUGAACAAGUCAAAAUUCUGUUCCUUUUUCUUAUUUUGGCU